rnacentral:lncRNA from 1 species
GCGGAUUCUUGGAUCCAAAGUUUGCGACGCCGACUUAUAUUUGUGAGUCUUUUCUUUCCCUCUCUUUCUACAAUUUGUACAUUUUUAUCGUAUUUACAUUCUCGACCUAGGCCAGCUUCAGAUCUGCCUUCUCUGUCUUUCUCCGGCAAUCGCCGUCUCUUCUGUUUUCCGGUCAGUAAAUAGACAUAAAUUUUGCUCUUUCUUAUGUCGUUGUUUAUCUGUCUAUCCGAUUUGCUUUAGAGAAUAAUUUUGUUUCAAAACAUGCUUUCCAAAUUCAAC